rfam:Deltaproteobacteria bacterium RIFCSPLOWO2_02_44_9 rifcsplowo2_02_sub10_scaffold_5786, whole genome shotgun sequence.
UUGCCCUUUUAAUUUGGCCCUGAGAGGUUAAGAAAGGGAAAUAAUGACUAUCCAGAGAAGGUUAUUGUCUUAUGAUACACCUCCUUGGCCAGUGGGGCAAGGAGGUGUUUUUUUU